rnacentral:pre_miRNA from 1 species
AUCUCUUACACAGGCUGACCGAUUUCUCCUGUGUUCAGAGUCUGUUUUUGUCUAGCACCAUUUGAAAUUGGUUAUGAUGUAGGGGG